rnacentral:rRNA from 1 species
AGGACGAACGCUGGCGGCGCGCUUAAUACAUGCAAGUCGAGCGAGAACCGGUCCUUCGGGACCGGGGAAAGCGGCGAACGGGUGAGUAACACGUGGGUAAUCUGCCCUCGGUACUGGGAUAGCCCGGGGAAACCCGGAUUAAUACCGGAUAGCCUUUCGAGCUCUUGGGCUCGUUAGAAAAGGUGGCUUCGGCUUCCGACUGAGGAUGAGCCCGCGGCGGAUUAGCUUGUUGGUGAGGUAAUGGCUCACCAAGGCUUCGAUCCGUAGCUGGUCUGAGAGGACGAUCAGCCACACUGGGACUGAGACACGGCCCAGACCUCCGUACGGGAGGCAGCAAGUAGGGAAUCUUGCGACAAGUGGGAGAAAGCCUAGACCGCAGCGGACGCCGGCGUCGACGGGAAGAAGGUCCGUUGGGUUACGUAAACCGUCGUUUCGAGGACGGACGAACGCCGACGUACGGGUUAACUAACCCCGAGG